CCUAACCUGUUUCUUAAAUAAAUUCCCACUUGUCAAUAAUUUAUCUGUCAGUUGCUAGACGUAGUCACAGGUGAAUGUAGCUGACCGUUUUGUGAAUUUAUGGUGCUUGAUAAAAGAAAUAAAUCGUCAAGAUUCAAUUAGAUUAGAUUGCUAGCGCAGGACGCGCGCGCCAGGAUAACAACAGACACUAUAAAAAUACGCGUGUUUUGUUUUUCCACUCAUUAUCGAGUUGGAAUCUGUGUGAAGUUCAAGUGCUUGUGAUUAAAUAACCAAAAUGUAUUCUAUGAACUAUAUCGGACGCUUCUUCAGCAACUUUCGCGAGUUUUACAACGAAAUCAACACAGCGACGCUGACCGGAGCCAUCGACGUCAUCGUCGUGGAGCAGGAGGAUGGGACGUACAAGUGCUCACCGUUCCACGUCCGAUUUGGAAAACUGGGAGUCCUCAGAAGUAGAGAAAAAGUGGUGGACAUCGAAAUCAACGGCGAACCCGCCGACAUCCACAUGAAACUGGGAGAGAGCGGGGAGGCUUUCUUCGUCGAGGAGCUCGAAGAUGAUGAGAACGAAAUCCCGGACCAUUUGGCCACGAGCCCGAUCCCCGUCAACGAAUUCGAGAACAUCUUCACGUCGCAAGGCCGGAGGCGGAGUUUCGGGGAACCCCCGACUCUCGAAAACGAAAUCAACGAUUACACAAAACGGCGCAAUACCGCCGAUAACGAGAGCAGCGUCAAACGCGAGCGCGAUUUUCUCAAACGACAGAUCGGUUUGGGGAACAUCGGGAUCGGGGAGAACAGCACGGAGGACAUGUCCAGGUCCAUGCACUCCACCACCAAGGAAAGCGUGGAGGACUUGAGCAAGGACAACGACAUUUCGGACACUAUCUUCAAAAUGGACAGUCUGGAGAUGGACACCAGUCGGUCGGAGAGCGGGCCAAAGCCCGAGGAAGCGAGUCAGGGGAAGGACGAGCACAGCAGCGAGAGUCGGAGUAGUAAGAAAAAGCGGCGCAAAACUAAAAAGAAAAACGCGCCGAGGAAGUCGUCCAGUGUUAAUCAGAUAUCGCCCGAAGUGGCGGAGAAAAAUGACUCGGCGACGACCGAUCCCAGCUCGAUUGAGAGCAAUUCGUCGGAGCCCGAGUUGAAGGAGUUGCAGAAUGUUGAAGGGAGUGCUCAGACGCCGUCGAAUAGUCGCAAGAUCAUCGAUCCGGAUUUUCAUUUCUUCAGCGAUACAGAGUUGACCAGUAAUGUGGUGGAUUCGAGGGCCGAUUCGCCGAUUCAGGUGGAGGCAGUGCAGUCGGAUUCGGAGUUUGAAGUGAAAAAUCGCAAAGGCGACAACAAAGAUAAUGGCCAAAGCUGGGAAUGGGGCGGCUUCCCCAGCGUCUCGCCGACAAACUCCCCAAUCAGCGAACAAGCCACCAAAAACGACCAGUUCGCCAUCAGCAACGUCUUCUCCUUCAUGAAAAAAUCUCACGGCCAGACGGAAGGAAUCUACUUAUCGGACCUCAACUCGGUCGAUCCGGAAGUGGCCGCCCUUUAUUUCUCGACAAACAAAAAUAAAACUACAGAUGCCGACAUGGAUUGUGAAUCAGGAAAUGGUCCGUCACUGGCCCAAAGCCCGAACAGUGCUGAAGGGUGCAAGUCGAUCGAUUCCGACUUCGACGAACACAUCAAAGGGGGUCGCUUGUACUCUAACGAAGUCUCGUUGUCGCUGUGCGGCUGGGACCCGGAACCGGAUGCCACGCGUUUCGACGAGCACAUGAUCACCUUCAGUGACUUCUGCAACAACCCCAUGCUGCUGGAAGACCCGAAUUUGGUGGUGAACAUCAGAGGGAAAUACUACAACUGGAAAGUAGCAGCCCCUAUUAUUUCAAGCAUCAUGGUUUUCAACAGACCUCUCCUGCAGUCAUCAAUUGAUCAACUGUGCAACAUACAUAUGCCCUCUAAUCAGGAGAGCAAGGACAAUAAACAAGAAGCUAAGACGUCGUGGUGGCAUUGGCGCAGAUCUAAGACUUCAAGAGAAGCGACCCCGACGGUUGAUACGAGAAAAACGGUAGUCGAAGUUAAGGACACAGCUAUAGAUAUCGGAGAUGAGCACAUCCUCCAAACCGAUAUUUCAGUAGCCCAGAAAAUUCCCAAAACUGAAGAGACUGAAGAGAAGGACAAGGAAUGUGCCAUCUCGAUCUCGCCCCAAGUGUGCCAACUUUCGGAAAAGUGCAGGAAGACCUUGCGCCUCAGCUCCAAGCAAAUUGCGAGUUUGAAUUUGCGCGACGGCAUGAACGAAAUCGUGUUCAGUGUAACGACAGCCUAUCAGGGGACAACCCGGUGCACCUGCCACUUGUACAAGUGGAAAUGGGACGAUAAGAUCGUCAUUUCCGAUAUCGACGGGACCAUUACGAAGUCGGACGUGUUGGGCCACAUCCUGCCCAUUGUCGGGAAAGACUGGGCCCAAUCGGGCGUCGCCCAAUUGUUUAACAAAAUUAAGGGCAACGGUUACAAACUAUUGUACCUCAGCGCUCGAGCGAUAGGCCAGGCCAGAAUCACCCGAGAGUACCUUAGGAGUAUCAAACAGGGGAACUUGACCAUGCCCGAUGGUCCGAUUUUGCUCAAUCCCACUUCGUUGAUCACGGCUUUCCACCGAGAAGUGAUUGAGAAGAAGCCUGAACAGUUCAAGAUUUCCUGCAUGAGCGACAUUAAGGCGCUGUUUCCGUCUGAAUCAAAUCCGUUCUAUGCCGGAUACGGGAAUAGGAUUAAUGAUGUGUGGGCGUACCGGGCUGUGGGAAUCCCUAUAGUUAGAAUUUUUACAAUUAAUCCCAAAGGGGAGCUCAAGCACGAGCUCACACAAACCUUCCAGUCGACUUACACGGGUCAGUCACUGGUCGUCAAUGACGUGUUUCCCCCACUUUUGCAUAAACUCAGAGACAAUGACACUAGUAGUGACGAAAUAGAGUCAGAUAUGAGCGAUAGCGAUUAAUUUGUAUUUUAUCAGUACAAACACUCUCAUCUAGUUCAUGCAACUAACGGUGGUAGCGCUUAUCAUUCAUCCUCAUGAUCAUCAGGGGCUUAUCGCGAACGCAUCCAAUGAUAAAAUACAAAUGAGUUCGCGUUUAAUUUAUUUAUUUAUUGUUUAAAUGUUAUUGUCUUAAACUCCGGCCCUCUCCGUGGUUUAUUAUAACGAUAUUCGACCAUGACGUACUACGUAGACCAGCUGUUUCCUCCAUUGAUCGAAGCUGCCAAUGACUACUCGCAGUUCGCCUAUUGGCGCGAUCCACUUCCGGUCGUUGAAGAACUCCCGGAAGUAGCGUAAAAUUGAAUUUGUCUGCAUUUAUCGAUUCAGUAUUUGUUGUCGUGCGCUUUCGAUGUCUCCAUUACCGGACACAGCUUUUAGAACAAAUCAAGUAGCUGUCACUGUUAUAAAUUACAAUAAUAACGAUAAUGUGAUAUACUGAUUACCAACUUAUUGUAAGGCUAGGCUUAAAUACUCUACCUGUUAAACAAAUUGUGCGUUGCUUUGUUCAAUUUUAGUACUAAAAAGUGAUUCACUACUUUUUAUAUUGUGAUAUUUUAUUUCGUAAGGGAUACACUAUUUUUUUUGUUUUUUUUUUAAGUUAUUGCAAUAAAGUUCCAACUGUAUAUUUUAA